CUAUACUGACAACAUGCGUAUGCCUUUUUGUAGCUUAUCUCAUUAGAACUCCAUAGUUAAGCGUGCUUGAGUUGGAGUAAUAUAGGGAUGGGUGACCUUCUGGGAAGUUUUCCAAAAAUUGUGUAAU
rnacentral:rRNA from 1 species